GUCCUAGCUGUAAACGGUGCGUAUUUGCUGUAAGUGGAUUCGACCCCACUUGUGGCGUAGCCAACGCGUUAAAUACGCCGCCUGGGAAGUACGGUCGCAAGAUUAAACUCAAAGAAUUGACGGGGCCUGCACAAGCGGUGGAGUAUGUGGCUCAAUUCGAUGCAACGCGAAGAACCUUACCUGGCCUUGACAUGCAUAUAGUAGAAGCCCGAAAGGGCGACGAGGUAGCAAUACCAGUAUGCACAGGUGCUGCAUGGCUGUCGU
rnacentral:rRNA from 1 species